rnacentral:rRNA from 1 species
UAGAGUUUGAUCCCUGCUUCAGGAUGAACGCUAGCUAUAGGCUUAACACAUGCAAGUCGAGGGGAAACGGCAUGGAAUGCUUGCAUUUCAUGGACGUCGACCGGCGUACGGGUGAGUAACGCGUAUCCAACCUGCCCAUGAGUAGGGAAUAACCCGCAGAAAUGCGGACUAAUACCCUAUACAGUCCAAAGACGGCAUCAGAUUUGGACGAAAGAUUUAUCGCUCAUGGAUGGGGAUGCGUCUGAUUAGUUUGUUGGCGGGGUAACGGCCCACCAAGGCAUCGAUCAGUAGGGGUUCUGAGAGGAAGGUCCCCCACAUAGGAACUGAGACACGGUCCUAACUCCUACGGGAGGCAGCAGUGAGGAAUAUUGGUCAAUGGGCGGAAGCCUGAACCAGCCAAGUAGCGUGCAGGAUGACGGCCCUAUGGGUUGUAAACUGCUUUUACAGGGGAAUAAAGUGAGGGACGUGUCCCUUUUUGCAGGUACCGCAUGAAUAAGGACCGGCUAAUUCCGUGCCAGCAGCCGCGGUAAUACGGAAGGUCCGGGCGUUAUCCGGAUUUAUUGGGUUUAAAGGGAGCGUAGGCCGGCUUUUAAGCGUGUUGUGAAAUGUAGAGGCUCAACCUCUGAAUUGCAGCGCGAACUGACGGUCUUGAGUGCGCGCAACGUUGGCGGAAUUUGUCGUGUAGCGGUGAAAUGCUUAGAUAUGACGAAGAACUCCGAUUGCGAAGGCAGCUGACGGGAGCGUUACUGACGCUUAAGCUCGAAAGCGCGGGUAUCGAACAGGAUUAGAUACCCUGGUAGUCCGCGCGGUAAACGAUGGAUGCCCGCUGUUUGCGUCUAACGUAAGCGGCCAAGGAAAA